CGGCAGGCCUAACACAUGCAAGUCGAACGGUAGCACAGAGAGCUUGCUCUCGGGUGACGAGUGGCGGACGGGUGAGUAAUGUCUGGGAAACUGCCCGAUGGAGGGGGAUAACUACUGGAAACGGUAGCUAAUACCGCAUAAUGUCGCAAGACCAAAGUGGGGGACCUUCGGGCCUCACACCAUCGGAUGUGCCCAGAUGGGAUUAGCUAGUUGGUGAGGUAAUGGCUCACCAAGGCGACGAUCCCUAGCUGGUCUGAGAGGAUGACCAGCCACACUGGAACUGAGACACGGUCCAGACUCCUACGGGAGGCAGCAGUGGGGAAUAUUGCACAAUGGGCGCAAGCCUGAUGCAGCCAUGCCGCGUGUAUGAAGAAGGCCUUCGGGUUGUAAAGUACUUUCAGCGAGGAGGAAGGCAUUAAGGUUAAUAACCUUAGUGAUUGACGUUACUCGCAGAAGAAGCACCGGCUAACUCCGUGCCAGCAGCCGCGGUAAUACGGAGGGUGCAAGCGUUAAUCGGAAUUACUGGGCGUAAAGCGCACGCAGGCGGUCUGUCAAGUCAGAUGUGAAAUCCCCGGGGCUCAACCUGGGAACUGCAUUCGAAACUGGCAGGCUAGAGUCUUGUAGAGGGGGGUAGAAUUCCAGGUGUAGCGGUGAAAUGCGUAGAGAUCUGGAGGAAUACCGGUGGCGAAGGCGGCCCCCUGGACAAAGACUGACGCUCAGGUGCGAAAGCGUGGGGAGCAAACAGGAUUAGAUACCCUGGUAGUCCACGCCGUAAACGAUGUCUAUUUGGAGGUUGUUCCCUUGAGGAGUGGCUUCCGGAGCUAACGCGUUAAAUAGACCGCCUGGGGAGUACGGCCGCAAGGUUAAAACUCAAAUGAAUUGACGGGGGCCCGCACAAGCGGUGGAGCAUGUGGUUUAAUUCGAUGCAACGCGAAGAACCUUACCUACUCUUGACAUCCACGGAAUUUAGCAGAGAUGCUUUAGUGCCUUCGGGAACCGUGAGACAGGUGCUGCAUGGCUGUCGUCAGCUCGUGUUGUGAAAUGUUGGGUUAAGUCCCGCAACGAGCGCAACCCUUAUCCUUUGUUGCCAGCGGUUCGGCCGGGAACUCAAAGGAGACUGCCAGUGAUAAACUGGAGGAAGGUGGGGAUGACGUCAAGUCAUCAUGGCCCUUACGAGUAGGGCUACACACGUGCUACAAUGGCAUAUACAAAGAGAAGCGACCUCGCGAGAGCAAGCGGACCUCAUAAAGUAUGUCGUAGUCCGGAUUGGAGUCUGCAACUCGACUCCAUGAAGUCGGAAUCGCUAGUAAUCGUAGAUCAGAAUGCUACGGUGAAUACGUUCCCGGGCCUUGUACACACCGCCCGUCACACCAUGGGAGUGGGUUGCAAAAGAAGUAGGUAGCUUAACCUUCGGGAGGGCGCUUACCACUUUGUGAUUCAUGACUGGGGUGAAGUCAUAA
rnacentral:rRNA from 1 species